GACGAACGCUGGCGGCGUGCUUAACACAUGCAAGUCGAACGGACAGGCCCGGCUCUUGCUUGGUGGUCGUGAGGCGAACGGGUGAGUAACACGUGAGUAACAUGUACCUGACAUUGUGGUAACACUUGGAGAAUGGGGCGCAUACAGGGUAUAAGCUUUUGCUGCACGGGGGUGGAUGGUAAGAUUCGGUGGUGGGGGAUGGAAUCGCGGCUUAUCAGCUUGGUGGUGGGGUAGUGGCUUACCAAGUUUACGACGGGUAGCCGGCAUGGGCGGGUGACCGGCCACCUGGGGCCUGAGGUACGGCCCAGAAUCCUACGGGAGGCAGCAGUGGGGAAUAUUGCACAAUGGGCGGAAGCCUGAUGCAGCAACGCCGCGUGCGGGAUGACGGCCUUCGGGUUGUAAACCGCUUUCGCCUGUGACGAAGCGUGAGUGACGGUAAUGGGUAAAGAAGCACCGGCUAACUACGUG
rnacentral:rRNA from 1 species